rnacentral:tRNA from 1 species
GCCGCCAUAGUUAAGUGGUUUAACGGCGCAUUCGUAAUGCGCAAACGCAGGUUCAAUUCCUGUUGGCGGCUCCA